rnacentral:rRNA from 1 species
CACGUAGGGGGCAAGCGUUGUCCGGAUUUAUUGGGCGUAAAGAGCUCGUAGGCGGUUCGGUAAGUCGGGUGUGAAACCUCCAGGCUCAACCUGGAGACGCCACCCGAUACUGCUGUGACUAGAGUCCGGUAGGGGAGCGUGGAAUUCCUGGUGUAGCGGUGAAAUGCGCAGAUAUCAGGAGGAACACCGAUGGCGAAGGCAGGUCACUGGGCCGCAACUGGACGCUGAGGAGCGAAAGCAUGGGGAGCGAACAGG